rnacentral:rRNA from 1 species
CCUACGGGCGGCUGCAGUGGGGAAUAUUGGACAAUGGGCGAAAGCCUGAUCCAGCCAUGCCGCGUGUGUGAAGAAGGCCUUCGGGUUGUAAAGCACUUUCAGUGGGGAAGAAAGCCUUGGGGCUAAUACCCUCGAGGAAGGACAUCACCCACAGAAGAAGCACCGGCUAACUCCGUGCCAGCAGCCGCGGUAAUACGGAGGGUGCGAGCGUUAAUCGGAAUUACUGGGCGUAAAGCGCGCGUAGGCGGUCUGAUAAGCCGGUUGUGAAAGCCCCGGGCUCAACCUGGGAACGGCAUCCGGAACUGUCAGGCUAGAGUGCAGGAGAGGAAGGUAGAAUUCCCGGUGUAGCAGUGAAAUGCAUAGAGAUCGGGAGGAAUACCAGUGGCGAAGGCGGCCUUCUGGACUGACACUGACGCUGAGGUGCGAAAGCGUGGGUAGCAAACAGGAUUAGAUACCCGUGUAGUC